rnacentral:rRNA from 1 species
UACGGGGGGGGCAAGCGUUGUUCGGAAUUACUGGGCGUAAAGGGCUCGUAGGCGGCCAACUAAGUCGGACGUGAAAUCCCCAGGCUCAACCUGGGAACUGCGUCCGAUACUGGAUGGCUUGAAUCCGGGAGAGGGAUGCAGAAUUCCAGGUGUAGCGGUGAAAUGCGUAGAUAUCUGGAGGAAUACCGGUGGCGAAGGCGGCAUCCUGGACCGGCAUUGACGCUGAUGCGCGAAAGCCAGGGGAGCGAACGGG